rnacentral:rRNA from 1 species
AUUGAACGCUGGCGGCAGGCCUAACACAUGCAAGUCGAGCGGAUGAAGGGAGCUUGCUCCUGGAUUCAGCGGCGGACGGGUGAGUAAUGCCUAGGAAUCUGCCUGGUAGUGGGGGAUAACGUCCGGAAACGGGCGCUAAUACCGCAUACGUCCUGAGGGAGAAAGUGGGGGAUCUUCGGACCUCACGCUAUCAGAUGAGCCUAGGUCGGAGUAGCUAGUUGGUGGGGUAAAGGCCUACCAAGGCGACGAUCCGUAACUGGUCUGAGAGGAUGAUCAGUCACACUGGAAGUGAGACACGGGACAGAGGCCUGCGGGAGGCAGCAGUAGGGAAGUUUAGGGAAUGGGGGAAAGCGUGACAGAGCGAUGGGGAGUGUGAGAAGAAAGUCCUCGGAUCGGAAAGAUGUGUUAUGAGGGAAAAACAGCUGUGGAAGUAACUGUGCCCAUCGUGACGGUACCUAAUAAGAAAGCCACGGCUAACGACGUG